rnacentral:misc_RNA from 1 species
GAUGAAGAACGUAGCGAAAUGCGAUAAGUAAUGUGAAUUGCAGAAUUCAGUGAAUCAUCGAAUCUUUGAACGCACAUUGCGCCCGUCAGUAUUCUGGCGGGCAUGCCUGUUCGAGCGUCAUUACGCCCCUCAAGUCCCCUGUGGACUUGGUGUUGGGGAUCGGCGAGGCUGGUUUUCCAGCACAGCCGUCCCUUAAAUUAAUUGGCGGUCUCGCCGUGGCCCUCCUCUGCGCAGUAGUAAAACACUCGCAACAGGAGCCCGGCGGGUCCACUGCCGUAAAACCCCCCAACUUUUUAUAGUUGACCUCGAAUCAGGUAGGACUACCCGCUGAACUUAAGCAUAUCAAUAAGCGGAGGA